rnacentral:misc_RNA from 1 species
UCGUAACAAGGUUUCCGUAGGUGAACCUGCGGAAGGAUCAUUACUGAGUGAGGGUCCCUCGGGGCCCAACCUCCCACCCGUGUAUACCGUACCUUGUUGCUUCGGCGAGCCCGCCCCCUUUUUCUUUUAGGGGGCACAGCGCUCGCCGGAGACACCAACGUGAACACUGUCUGAAGUUUUGUCGUCUGAGUCGAUUGUAUCGCAAUCAGUUAAAACUUUCAACAAUGGAUCUCUUGGUUCCGGCAUCGAUGAAGAACGCAGCGAAAUGCGAUAAUUAAUGUGAAUUGCAGAAUUCAGUGAAUCAUCGAGUCUUUGAACGCACAUUGCACCCCCUGGUAUUCCGGGGGGUAUGCCUGUCCGAGCGUCAUUGCUGCCCUCAAGCACGGCUUGUGUGUUGGGUCGUCGUCCCCCCCCAGGGGGACGGGCCCGAAAGGCAGCGGCGGCACCGCGUCCGGUCCUCGAGCGUAUGGGGCUUUGUCACCCGCUCUUGUAGGCCCGGCCGGCUGCUGGCCGACGCUGAAAAGCAACCAACUAUUUUUCCAGGUUGACCUCGGAUCAGGUAGGGAUACCCGCUGAACUUAAGCAUAUCAAUAA